rnacentral:rRNA from 1 species
ACAGAGCCCGUGAAUCCGGGCGCGCGGAAUUCAGGAUCGACGGCGCGCGCGCGCGUUACUAGCGUGGCGUCGCGCGCGUCGUCGAUUCGAUAUUUCCGCCGCCGACCCGCUUCAAACGGGUGCGGACGUCGCGACCCGUUCGCCGCCGGUCUCACGGGGCGCGUUUCAAGUUCGUCGCGCGUCGUUUCGUGCGCGCGUCCCUCGGGUCGCGCGCGCGAUGACGCGCGGCGAUGGCGCGCUUUUCGCGGGCCGGCGUUUUGCGGACGGUAGCCUCGAGCGUGCGGGUAAUCGACGCGGCCGAACGGCGAACGGUCGAACGUUCGUCGGGCGUGCGCGUCGACGCCGGUCAGCGACGAAUCUUCGGGCCUCUUUCCGACCCGUCUUGAAACACGGACCAAGGAGUCUAACGUGCGCGCGAGUCGCGGGGUAUCCGAGUCGGUAACGCGACUCGUCACGAUACGAAACCCGUGUGUACGUACGUUGUGCGAAGGCGUAAUGAAA